GACGAACGCUGGCGGCGUGCCUAAUACAUGCAAGUAGAACGCUGAAGGAGGAGCUUGCUUCUCUGGAUGAGUUGCGAACGGGUGAGUAACGCGUAGGUAACCUGCCUGGUAGCGGGGGAUAACUAUUGGAAACGAUAGCUAAUACCGCAUAAUAGCAGUUGUUGCAUGACAACUGUUUGAAAGGUGCAAUUGCACCACUACCAGAUGGACCUGCGUUGUAUUAGCUAGUUGGUGGGGUAACGGCUCACCAAGGCGACGAUACAUAGCCGACCUGAGAGGGUGAUCGGCCACACUGGGACUGAGACACGGCCCAGACUCCUACGGGAGGCAGCAGUAGGGAAUCUUCGGCAAUGGACGGAAGUCUGACCGAGCAACGCCGCGUGAGUGAAGAAGGUUUUCGGAUCGUAAAGCUCUGUUGUAAGAGAAGAACGAGUGUGAGAGUGGAAAGUUCACACUGUGACGGUAGCUUAACAGAAAGGGACGGCUAACUACGUG
rnacentral:rRNA from 1 species